rnacentral:tRNA from 1 species
GGAUUGUAGUCAGUGGUAGAGCACUUGCCUAGCACGUGUGAGGCACUGGGUUCGACUCUCAGCACCA